GACGAACGCUGGCGGCGUGCUUAACACAUGCAAGUCGAACGGAAAGGCCCUGCUUUUGUUGGGUGCUCGAGUGGCGAACGGGUGAGUAACACGUGAGUAACCUGCCCUUGACUUUGGGAUAACUUCAGGAAACUGGGGCUAAUACCGGAUAGGAGCUCCUGCUGCAUGGUGGGGGUUGGAAAGUUUCGGCGGUUGGGGAUGGACUCGCGGCUUAUCAGCUUGUUGGUGGGGUAGUGGCUUACCAAGACUUUGACGGGUAGCCGGCCUGAGAGGGUGACCGGCCACAUUGGGACUGAGAUACGGCCAAGACUCCUACGGGAGGCAGCAGUGGGGAAUAUUGCACGAUGGGCGGAAGCCUGAUGCAGCAACGCCGCGUGCGGGAUGACGGCCUUCGGGUUGUAAACCGCUUUCGCCUGUGACGAAGCGUGAGUGACGGUAAUGGGUAAAGAAGCACCGGCUAACUACGUG
rnacentral:rRNA from 1 species